GGGCCCGUUGCCUAGCCCGGAUAGGGCACCAGCCUCCUAAGUUGGUUUUCGCCGGUUCGAAUCCGGCCGGGCCCG
rnacentral:tRNA from 1 species